UCCUGAGUGUGUACUGUGCGGGCGU
rnacentral:miRNA from 1 species